AACGAACGCUGGCGGCAUGCCUAACACAUGCAAGUCGAACGAGACCUUCGGGUCUAGUGGCGCACGGGUGCGUAACGCGUGGGAACCUGCCCUUAGGUUCGGAAUAACUCCCCGAAAGGGGUGCUAAUACCGGAUAAUGUCUUCGGACCAAAGAUUUAUCGCCUUUGGAUGGGCCCGGGUUGGAUUAGCUAGUUGGUAGGGUAAAAGCCUACCAAGGCGACGAGCCAUAGCUGGUCUGAGAGGAGGAGCAGCCACACUGGGACUGAGACACGGCCCAGACGGCAACGGGAGGCGCAAGGGGGGAAUAGGGGACAAUGGGCGAAGGACAGAUCGAGACAUGCCGCGUGGUGGAAGAAGGGUGUCGGACGUGAAAGCACUUGAAGGGGGGAGGAAGGGAAGGAGGUGAAUACCGCGCGGGGGUGACGUUACCAACAGAAUAAGCACCGGCUAACGUGGUG
rnacentral:rRNA from 1 species